rnacentral:rRNA from 1 species
UACGUAGGGAGCAAGCGUUGUCCGGAAUCAUUGGGCGUAAAGAGCGUGUAGGCGGCCAGACAAGUCUGCUGUGAAAACUCGAGGCUCAACCUCGAGCUGUCGGUGGAAACUGUCUGGCUAGAGUCCGGAAGAGGAGAGUGGAAUUCCUGGUGUAGCGGUGAAAUGCGCAGAUAUCAGGAAGAACACCUAUGGCGAAGGCAGCUCUCUGGGACGGUACUGACGCUGAGACGCGAAAGCGUGGGGAGCAAACAGG